UACGAAGGGGGCUAGCGUUGCUCGGAACUGACUGGGCGUAAAGGGCGCGUAGGCGGAUGGCACAGUCAGAUGUGAAAUUCCCGGGCUUAACCUGGGGGCGUGCAUUUGAUACGUGUGAUCUAGAGUGAGGAAGAGGGUCGUGGAAUUCCCAGUGUAGAGGUGAAAUUUCGUUAGAAUAUUGGGAAGAACACCGGGUGGCGAAGGCGGCGAGCCUGGUCCUUGACU
rnacentral:rRNA from 1 species